AUGUGUCCCUCUUCGAUGGAAUCGCCAAAUUCUCUCAACUCAAGUCUUCCUCCUCACAACCAACCUAUUGUAGAAAAAUCAGAGAGGGAGAAAAAAAUUGAAGAGUGGCUUCCAAUUAAUGCGGAUAGGAGUGCAAAAUGGUGGUACUCAGCUUUUCAUAAUGUCACUGCUAUGGUUGGAGCCGGUGUUCUUGGUCUUCCAUAUGCCAUGUCACAACUUGGAUG